CAAUAAAUAGCUGAGAGCGAGGGAAACUGAGAGGAGACAUGGGAGAAGCUGGUUGCUCUCCACGGAGAUUCGUGGUGACCUGGCAGAUCACUGCAGUGCCUGGGGGGAAGGAUUUACAGCCGGGAAAGCUGCCCCUCGCCCGGUCUGUGGGAGACAGCACGCGGGGGCAAGUCAUUAUCUGCUGCAGUCUGCGCACUGAAAUGCAACGUAGGCAGCAGAGAAAGGAGGCAUCUCCAAAUGAGUAA
rnacentral:lncRNA from 1 species